CUGUCUCUUAUUUCCCCCAAUCUCAAAACCCUAAAAUUACCUGGAUCAGUCCAGCGAAGUUGAAUGGUGAUAAUGAGAGGUUUGGCCAUAAAAAUGUAACUCAAACUCUAGUUGCUGAAGUUAAAUGGGUCUAUUUUUUGGGUGGGAAUCUGGUGAUGGAGGAAGGAACCCUCACAUGCACUGGAACCACAGUCACAUUACGAUUUCUUCUUGUUAUACAAAAUUAAAACUUCAUUUCUUUCUUAAUUUCUUUCUUUGUCUGGCUCUUUUUUUGCCUUAAAUUUAGGGUUUAUUCGGUAAGAUUUAGGGCUUGCUUGUCUCUGUCUGCUUUGAUUAUUUUGUUGUUUACCACUGCUGCUGCCAGAGGAAGAGGUUCAAGGGGUCGUGGUGAUGCAGCGACACCAACUGGUGUUAGAGGAAGGGGUUCAACAGAUGGUGGUGCUACAGGAAGAUGUUCAACGGGUGGUGGACCUAGUGGUGCUGCUAGAACUAUAUUCCAUAUAUGUAGCUUUAACAGCUAUGGGCACUAAUUGGGUGCAUAAACAUUCCCAGCCGGAAGUCUCAUCUCAAAUGAUACAAGAGCAUUAGGGUCACAUAAGGCUCUAGCAGUUUUCCUGGAAGGUAGCUCAAGAGAUGUGAUAGUAAAGCGCUUUAUAACUCAUAAAGAGCUUCAAUGUACAAUGAUACCGAGACAAAAGGAAAAACUUUGCGAGAGUAAGGCAGAACCUUAUUCAUUUCGUUUCUUAAUCAGAUGGAAAUCAGUGUUCACGAUGCUAGUUGAGUUCACCAAUGAUCAAACUCCGAGCUAAGUUAUCUUAAGCUGUUCUCGCUCCUAAAAUCAUAUACAUUAGCCGGUUCACAGGCUCAAACUGGAUGUUGUUACUAGUGUAGAAGUUCCUUUCUAGUUUCAAGUCUGGCUUUUGUGUUGAUUAGAGUCUUGUCUUUUUUCUGUGCAUCAGUUAAUAUGCUGAAUUUUCUUCAGAGUCUAACGGGCUGUUUUCUGAACAGUUGGUUCCUCUUCUUCUUUUUUGAGUUUUGAGGGAGUCCCAAUUUAUACGUAUGGUUUCCAUCCUUU